GUUUGUUAGGCUCAGUGGAGAAACCACUGCAAGGGCUAGUUCUCCUUGUUGUCUGCUUCUAGUUGGGAACCGGGCAUAAAUCAGUGUCCCACUGUUGUUCAAGAACAGGGACCCAAAUAGUAAAUAUGUCUAAUGCGGGUCCUCCACAUGAGCUAACAUCACUCCAUCUUCAUCAAGAAGACCUGGGUUGCAAAAGAAAUUGUGAUUCAACCAGAGGGAUCAGAGAUACUGAGUUUAAUUCUCCAAACCACAGAUUAGAGACUGGGCCAUGUAAACCCACAGAGGGAAGUAAGCCACCAAGUCAGUUCAAGGGAAGAACCAAGGAGAAUUUCAGAGGAAAGAUUUUCCCCAUUUGGUCGCUUGGGGAAGACACAUGGCUGCACCCUCCCAAGAGUGGCAGAAAGACAGGAGUACCAGCUCGCUGGCACAAAAGGUGGAGCUUCAGAGAGGUGUGUUUUAAGCAUUAAUGAGCCUGAUUUGUGAGGAUGCUUCACAAGGAAUGAGAUGCACAAGAGUAUUGGGCAAGACAGAGAUGAAAGAACAAGUAACAAGAGCAUCUUUCCUUGGCUGAAGUUCCCUGUGCAGAACAUCAGCACCAGGAUCAAUAGGACCUCAACUGUAUGAUGGGAAGAAAACAAACCCAAGGAUGGACUAAUGUGGACUAAUGGCCCACAUCUGAUUUCUGAAUUGGACUGUGUAUUCUGUCAGAGCCUCAAUGACAAGGUCUCAUAGCUCUUCUUAGCCACCCAAAUGAGUCAUGUUUCUCUAUACCUCACAAGAAGUUUUCAUUAUCCUCCUGGUCAUUAUUGCUUCCUGGUCAGUCUUAUCUUACAUUUUAAAACUUGUCCCAGGUAUCUUCAAGGCUAAGUUGAGCUGAAUCUUCCAUUUCAAAUUUAAAAUAAACAUAGAGACCAUAAAGCA
rnacentral:lncRNA from 1 species